AUUUGUAACAAGUUUUUAUUCAUAAUUUUGAUUCUUUUUUUCUUUUGAUUCCCCCAGUCUAAAGAGCUUUAGACUCAGGCCCUCUGUAAAACCUGGAUCCCUGGCUGUUCAAGGGAGAAAGUGAGGUAAUACUCAAGCAAACGUUUGUUUCACCCAAGCAGGCAUCUCAAGGACUGCGUGGCGUCUCGGCCAUCUCGGUAGCUUCAGCACCUCAUAUUACCCACAUUCAAACUUGUCCACAGCGAGGCUCUGAAACUUGCCAGACAACAGGACCUUGGAUUCGAUCCCAGAACAGAUGAGGACAUAUUAAUGGAAAAAUAGGUAGGUGAGGAGAACACAGCCCCCCCCCCCCCCCAGGAGAAGAAGCAGCACAGAAGAAACCGCUGGCUGGGGGAAGAGAAUGAGUUGAAUGUCAGAUAUGUGAAACUCAAGGCAGCUGUACCGCACCCACGUGGAGACAAACAAGACACCCACAUGAAUCCACCGGCUUCCACCCCCGCCAUCCUGCUAGGCUCGGCCAAACCAUCACCAACCAGCAGGAUCCUGCGUCGGCCCAGCCCCCAGCACUAA
rnacentral:lncRNA from 1 species